UACGUAGGGGGCGAGCGUUGUCCGGAUUUAUUGGGCGUAAAGAGCUCGUAGGUGGUUUGUCGCGUUGUUCGUGAAAUCUCACGGCUUAACUGUGAGCGUGCGGGCGAUACGGGCAGACUGGAGUACUGCAGGGGAGACUGGAAUUCCUGGUGUAGCGGUGGAAUGCGCAGAUAUCAGGAGGAACACCGGUGGCGAAGGCGGGUCUCUGGGCAGUAACUGACGCUGAGGAGCGAAAGCGUGGGGAGCGAACAGG
rnacentral:rRNA from 1 species